AUUGAACGCUGGCGGCAGGCCUAACACAUGCAAGUCGAGCGAGCGGCGGACGGGUGAGUAAUGUAUGGGGACUGCCCGAUAGAGGGGGAUAACUACUGGAAACGGUAGCUAAUAACGCAUACUAUCGGAUAACCCAUAUGGGAUUAGCUAGUAGGUGAGGUAAUGGCUCACCUAGGCGACGAUCCCUAGCUGGGCUGAGAGGGGGGUCAGCGACACUGGGACUGAUACACGGACCAGGCUCCUACGGGGGCAGCAGUGGGGAAUAUUGCACAAUGGGCGCAAGCCUGAUGCAGCCAUGCCGCGUGUAUGAAGAAGGCCCUAGGGAUGUAAAGUACUUUCAGUCGGGAGGCGUUACCGACAGAAGAAGCACCGGCUAACUCCGUGCCAGCAGCCGCGGUAAUAC
rnacentral:rRNA from 1 species